rnacentral:misc_RNA from 1 species
UGGGGCGUCGAUGAUACUCCUUACCUUAAGAACCUGCCUUUGUAGUGCUCACACAGAUUGUCUGAUGAAAAGUAAAUAGCAAGGCGUCUUGCGAUUGAGACUUCAGUGUCCCCUUCGUCUAGAGGCCCAGGACACCGCCCUUUCACGGCGGUAACAGGGGUUCGAAUCCCCUAGGGGACGCCACUUGCUGGUUCGUGAGUGAAAGUCACCUGCCUUAAUAUCUCAAAACUCAUCUUCGGGUGACGUUUGAGAUAUUUGCUCUUUAAAAAUCUGGAUCAAGCUGAAAAUUGAAACGACACACAUGUUAUGUGUGUUCGAGUCUCUCAAAUUUUCGCAAUUUGAUGGUGAAUCGAAAGAAACAUCUUCGGGUUGUGAGGUUAAGCGACUAAGCGUACACGGUGAGCCCUUGGCAAUUCUAGCGUUUUUGUUUUUCUUUGACCUUUAGGUUGUGUGGCUAAGCCACUAAUCUACAAGUGGAUGCCCUGGCAUGGCACGGCAAAGCUGUCUUUCGUUCUCUCUUGAUCUGAUUUUUCAGAUCCAUAUCCUCCCUCUCCCUAAAUGAGGUUUUAUAUUCCUGCGUAGAUUUCUUCCCCCCGUCCCCCUUUCCCUCGGGAUUUAACCCGCUUACCCUGCAAGGCGGCGUCCGG